rnacentral:rRNA from 1 species
GAUGAACGCUGGCGGCGUGCUUAACACAUGCAAGUCGAACGAUGAAGCCCAGCUUGCUGGGUGGAUUAGUGGCGAACGGGUGAGUAACACGUGAGUAACCUGCCCUUAACUCUGGGAUAAGCCUGGGAAACUGGGUCUAAUACCGGAUAGGAGCGUCCACCGCAUGGUGGGUGUUGGAAAGAUUUAUCGGUUUUGGAUGGACUCGCGGCCUAUCAGCUUGUUGGUGAGGUAAUGGCUCACCAAGGCGACGACGGGUAGCCGGCCUGAGAGGGUGACCGGCCACACUGGGAACGAGGCAAGGCCCAGGCUCCCACGGGGAGGCGGCAUAGGGAAUUAUGCACCAAGGGCGGCAGCCCGAUUGCGCCGCCCCGGCGGGGGGAUGACGGCCUUCGGGUUGUAAACCUCUUUCAGUAGGGAAGAAGCGAAAGUGACGGUACCUGCAGAAGAAGCACCGGCUAACUACGU